AUUGAUGUGACCCUCCGUCCCCAGGCCUGGCUCCCCGAGGGCUCAGAAGAGCAGCUUCGGUGUGCAGAUCAUCCGUCUGCGUGGGAUUCUCAGUGCCGGAGGCCUUGGGGUGGGGGCCAGGCCUUGCACACGCAGAGGGGACCAGUGGGCUGCAUGAUCCCCUCCAUCCCCAUCGGCCCUGUCCCCUGGAGUGUGUCAGAGCCCAGGGGAGAAUGCAGCCCACCAGGGUCACCUGGACCUCCUGACCGCCACAUGGCGUGGCCAUCACUCAGCCCCCACCCCUGCCCUGCUCCUAAGGGUAGAAAAUUCCAGGACCCCCUUUCACCGACUGCCCAGCCACUCCAAGCCCCCUGGCAGCUGCCCCUCCUGGAGCAGAAAGUGCCUUUAUCUCAGCCAUCCGCAGGCUGCUCAGCCAGAUGCGGGGACAGGCUGGAAUGAGGGAGGUGUCUUCAUCUCCCUGCCAUCCCCCUCUCACGCCACCCCCUCCCACCGGGCUGCAGGUGCUGCUGAUGCGCUGGGAUCUGAUUGAGGAUAAAAAGGAAGGAGAGAUGACCCCUACCCCCUCAUCCCCCAGUUUUGAAAAGGUCCAAGCAAGUGAGUCUGGUGGAGGAGCUGAGGGAGGGAGCCAUGGAAGGUGCCAGAAGGAAGGUUGGCGGGGGCACAUGUGGGCCGUGGCUUGGGCUGGUCAGAGUGGCCUGAGCUGCCCGGUGCCUGCCCCGCCCAAGUGACCAGGGAAGUGUGUGUGUGUCCAUGUGUAUGCGUGUCCGUCUGUCUGUCUAGUGUCUGGGUUUGGCCCAAGACUGGGCUGUGGUUACAUUAAUGCCCAGCCAGCCACCCCCACCACUCACCCCUCCUGGCCCAGGCCUUACUGACUCUGUGACCUGGGGAGGUGGGAGGCCAGGCGAACCUGACUCUGUUGUCCUACCCCUGCCUGGGCCCUUCUCCUCAGAGCCCAUGGUAACGAACCCCUAGAAAAGAGAGACCGGGCGUCAGGGGUGCACAGUCCACAGUGAGCUGAAGAGUGAGGUUUCAUGGCAGCACGGCCCAGCCCCUCACCCUCCAUCCCCAUGAGGGGACCCGUGUGGGCUGUCUUUGCAGGGCACAGAUGACCAAAGUCCCUUCCUGCUUCCUGUUCUCUGUCUUGCUCCUGGGGAGAAAGAGGGACCCGAUGAGACUUCACACAGGUGCACACAUCACCGGGUGCAUCUGCAGGCACCGGGCUGGCUGCUUGCAGCCAGGAGAAGGUCAGCGAGAGGGAGUGUGAGUGUGUGUGCAUGGAAGUUGGGGCACUGGGCGUCUGACUCCCUCCCCACCCAAGAGAGAAAGGACCCCUCACCAUCCCCACUGGCGAGACAGUUUACUUGCCAACUUGCCAUGUUUUUGCCAAAACCAAGAUUUUGAAGGAAAUGAGUGGCCAGUGCCAGGGCCCAGGCCAUGUGGCCCGCCCAGCCUCAAUGUCACUUGGUGGCGGGGUGGGGUGGGGGGUGGGCAGCAGCAUCCCAGCCUUGAGAUGCUUCACUUUCCUUUUCUGUAACCAGACUUCGAAAAAUCGUUCGUUUCUUCAGGCUCUGUUCCUCAAUGGCCUUUUGCUACGUGCCUCCCGAGAAAUUUGUCUCUUUUUGUAUAAAUGACAAAGUAUUGAAAAUGUAUUUCCUGAAAUAAAUGUUUCAAAUGCAGAAACC